AACAUAGGAGACGAGCGUUAUCCGGAUUUACUGGGCGUAAAGCGCGUGUAGGAGGCAAUACAAGUUGGAUGUAAAAUCUCCCGGCUUAACUGGGAGGCGUCGUUCAAGACUGUAUAGCUGGAGUGCUGUAGAGGUAAUCGGAACUCCGGGAGUAGCGGUGAAAUGCGUAGAUAUCCGGAAGAACACCAGAGGCGAAAGCGGAUUACUGGGCAGUAACUGACACUGAGACGCGAAAGCCAGGUUAGCAAAA
rnacentral:rRNA from 1 species